GUACACGCUGUGACUAGCAUAUCAAUAAGCGGAGGAAAAGAAACUAACAAGGAUUCCCCUAGUAACGGCGAGUGAAGCGGGAAGAGCUCAAAUUUGAAAUCUUAAAGGGUUUCCCCUUACGAAUUGUAGUUUAAAGAAGUGUUUUCUGUUGAGGUUUUGGUAAAAGUUCUUUGGAAUAGGACAUCAUAGAGGGUGAGAAUCCCGUAUUUGACCUUUACUUUCAACUUUGUGAUACACUUUCAAAGAGUCGGAUUGUUUGGGAAUGCAGUCCAAAAUGGGUGGUAAAUUUCAUCUAAAGCUAAAUAUUGGCGAGAGACCGAUAGCGAACAAGUACCGUGAGGGAAAGAUGAAAAGAACUUUGAAAAGAGAGUUAAACAGUACGUGAAAUUGUCAAAAGGGAAGCGUUUGACACCAGUGUUGUUUUUCUGAAAAUCAAUUAAAGAACUGUUUAUGCUAAGUUGUUUAGACUUUAUCAGCUAACUGUUUAGUUUUGAGCUUUUCUUUAAUGCACUUUUCAGUUAACAAGUCAACAUCAAUUUCUUUUGCUGUAAAAAAGCUUGAGGAAGGUGGCUUGAGAUUCGUCUUAAGUGUUUAUAGCCUCUUGCCUAUGCAGUCGGAGAGAUUGAGGUCUGCAGCGUAGAUCCUUCGGGGCUAAAUGCAUUUGUGCUAAGUUAUAGCAUUUUAUAGACAACUUGUUGACUAUGAUUUGUCUUGUAGCUUACUCGCUUAUGUUAUUUUACCUACGCUUAGGAUGUUGAGUCGUAGAGCACGCAG
rnacentral:rRNA from 1 species